GACGUAGGGCGCGAGCGUUGUCCGGAUUUAUUGGGCGUAAAGAGCUCGUAGGCGGCUUGUUGCGUCGACUGUGAAAACCCGCAGCUUAACUGCGGGCCUGCAGUUGAUACGGGCAGACUAGAGUGAUGUAGGGGAGACUGGAAUUCCUGGUGUAGCGGUGAAAUGCGCAGAUAUCAGGAGGAACACCGAUGGCGAAGGCAGGUCUCUGGGCAUUAACUGACGCUGAGGAGCGAAAGCAUGGGGAGCGAACAGG
rnacentral:rRNA from 1 species